rnacentral:rRNA from 1 species
AGAGCGAACGCUGGCGGCGUGCUUAACACAUGCAAGUCGAGUGCGCGCCUGUAGCAAUACAGGUGGCGCACGGCGCACGGGUGCGUAACACGUGGGUAAUCUGCCCUUCGAUGGGGAAUAACUCCGGGAAACCGAAGCUAAUUCCGCAUAACAUUCCUUGAACUUCGGUUUGGGGACUCAAAGCCGUAAGGCGUCGGAGGAGGAACCCGCGCACGAUUAGCUAGUUGGUAGGGUAACGCCUACCAAGGCUUUGAUCGUUA